GCGAGUGUGGCGGAAUUGGUAGACGCAGUGGAUUCAAAAUCCACCGCCCGCAAGGGCUUGGGGGUUCGAGUCCCCCCACUCGUACCA
rnacentral:tRNA from 4 species